UACGAAGGGGGCUAGCGUUGCUCGGAUUGACUGGGCGUAAAGGGCGCGUAGGCGGUUCGUACAGUCAGACGUGAAAUUCCUGGGCUCAACCUGGGGGCUGCGUUUGAUACGUGCGGACUUGAGUGCGGAAGAGGGUCGUGGAAUUCCCAGUGUAGAGGUGAAAUUCGUAGAUAUUCGGAAGAACACCCGUGGCGAAGGCGGCUCUCUGGGACGGUACUGACGCUGAGACGCGAAAGCGUGGGGAGCGAACAGG
rnacentral:rRNA from 1 species